GACUAGAUAACAUAGAUGGUAAUGUAUUAGAUUGCAAAUCUAAGAAGAAGUGUUCAAUUCACUUUCUAGUCU
rfam:Conidiobolus coronatus NRRL 28638 unplaced genomic scaffold CONCOscaffold_420, whole genome shotgun sequence.